CCUGGAGGCAGGAAGCUCAGAUCAAAGCCCAGAGACACAGACACUCUUGGAAAAUAAUCUGGUAGUGAAGCCGGAAACAGAGCUGCAACCUGGAGCCUCCAACCAAGGGCAGCUGGGAGAGCCAGUCACAAGAACAGGACAGUGGGUAGCACUUUCUUCCGCAGGCACAGGCACACAGACACCCCAAAGAGGCAAACCUGGGCAAUUGCCCGUGAGCAGGAGGCGGCUACGUAAAAAGGGUCCCGUGAUACCAUGGGAGACAACUGGAUUCAGCCAGUCGUGCUUACUGGACAUCUCAGGCAGACCACAGCCACGGGGACAGACCUAGAAGUCCUGAGCGUGGCUGGGCUGCAUGGCUGGGCUGCACCGCAGGUGUGGGUCAGGACGCUGACUCCCAGCUGUGUCCCCUCCUCUCCUUUCUCUGCCAUGGGCAUCUUUAGGGGACGCUGUCCCCACCAACAGGCAAGCCUUCAUUCGGACUGGCAGGGCCUCCCUAGCAGCACCCAAAGCCUCUGCUGACUAAGAGGAACAACAGGCUGGCAUUGGCCUCCUCCUCCUGCUGCUGAGACUCCGGGUAGCUCCGCCUCUGGGGACCCAGAACUUUCCAAGGAAAAAAAUGUAAACUAUUUCCAAGUCCUCCAGUACCUGGCACACGGUUAAAGCAACAGACAUGUUUUAAUAAACCCGUACAGUCAAAAAGGG